ACACGUGAGUGACCUGCCUUUUAGACUGGAACAACUUACCGAAAGGUGAGCUAAUGCCGGAUGAGUUAUAUAAGUGCAUGUUUAUAUAGGAAAAGUUGGGGAGACCUGACGCUGAAAGAUGGACUCGCGUCCCAUUAGCUAGUUGGUAGGGUAAUGGCCUACCAAGGCGACGAUGGGUAGCCGGCCUGAGAGGGUGGCCGGCCACACUGGGACUGAGACACGGCCCAGACUCCUACGGGAGGCAGCAG
rnacentral:rRNA from 1 species